ensembl:snoRNA Gm23212 predicted gene, 23212
CCUGCAUGAUGACGAACAAAUACUGACUACCUGAAGAUCUUUAUUAGCUCUAUCUGAUGGU